rnacentral:tmRNA from 1 species
GGGGUCGACCGGAAUUGACAGGAUAGCGAUGGUUAUGUAAGCAUGCAGUGCAUUGUUAGUCUAGCACUUUAAUCUGAACUUUCAACUUUUCAAAUGGCGAAGAAAACUACGCCUUAGCUGCUUAAUUUAGAAUUAAGAUUUAGCUUUUGUCUCGUCAAGCUUUGUUCUACCGCUUGACAUUAGAGGCACCGAAUCGUAGAACUGGUCCUUGCGAUUUUGCUAAGUAAGGAUAAGACCCAGCAAAUACGGAGUACGGUAUAGGUAAGCAACUCACCUUCCCUCUCCCGACAAUCAAAGAGAAGCUAAGCAUGUAGAAAGCGUAAAUCAUACUAUGUUUGGACGAGGGUUCGAAUCCCUCCGGCUCCACAA